rnacentral:rRNA from 1 species
GACGUAGGGCGCGAGCGUUGUCCGGAAUUAUUGGGCGUAAAGAGCUCGUAGGCGGCUUGUCACGUCGGGUGUGAAAGACCGGGGCUUAACCCCGGUUCUGCAUUCGAUACGGGCUAGCUAGAGUGUGGUAGGGGAGAUCGGAAUUCCUGGUGUAGCGGUGAAAUGCGCAGAUAUCAGGAGGAACACCGGUGGCGAAGGCGGAUCUCUGGGCCGAUACUGACGCUGAGGAGCGAAAGCGUGGGGAGCGAACAGG